rnacentral:rRNA from 1 species
UACAGAGGGUGCGAGCGUUAAUCGGAAUGACUGGGCGUAAAGGGCACGUAGGCGGUAGAACAAGUUAGAUGUGAAAUAUCAGGGCUCAACCUUGGUGCUGCAUCUAAAACUGUUUUACUAGAGUUCACUAGAGGGAAGCGGAAUUUCCGGUGUAGCAGUGAAAUGCGUAGAUAUCGGAAGGAACACCAGUGGCGAAGGCGGCUUUCUGGAGUUGAACUGACGCUAAGGUGCGAAAGCGUGGGGAGCAAACAGGAUUAGAUACCCGCGUA